GCGCCCGUAGCUCAGCUGGAUAGAGUAUCAGACUACGAAUCUGAGGGUCAGGAGUUCGAAUCUCUUCGGGCGCGCCA
rnacentral:tRNA from 3 species